UACGUAGGUGGCAAGCGUUGUCCGGAUUUACUGGGCGUAAAGGGCUCGUAGGCGGCCAACUAAGUCGGAUGUGAAAUCCCCCAGGCUCAACCUGGGAACUGCAUCCGAUACUGGAUGGCUUGAAUUCGGGAGAGGGAUGCAGAAUUCCAGGUGUAGCGGUGAAAUGCGUAGAUAUCUGGAGGAAUACCGGUGGCGAAGGCGGCAUCCUGGACCGACAUUGACGCUGAGGAGCGAAAGCCAGGGGAGCAAACGGG
rnacentral:rRNA from 1 species